rnacentral:rRNA from 1 species
UACGUAGGGGGCAAGCGUUGUCCGGAUUUAUUGGGCGUAAAGAGCGUGUAUGCGGCUAGGUAGGUCCGUUGUGAAAACUCGAGGCUCAACCUCGAGACGUCGAUGGAAACCAUCUAGCUAGAGUCCGGAAGAGGAGAGUGGAAUUCCUGGUGUAGCGGUGAAAUGCGCAGAUAUCAGGAAGAACACCCGUGGCGAAGGCGGCUCUCUGGUACGUGACUGACGCUGAGACGCGAAAGCGUGGGGAGCAAACAGG